UACGAAGGGUGCAAACGUUGCUCGGAAUUAUUGGGCGUAAAGCGCACGUAGGCGGCUUAGCAAGUCGGAAGUGAAAGCCCUCGGCUCAACCAAGGAAGUGCUUUCGAAACUGCUGAGCUUGAGUACUUAAGAGGAUCGCGGAAUUCCCGGUGUAGAGGUGAAAUUCGUAGAUAUCGGGAGGAAUACCGAUGGCGAAGGCAGCUUUCUGGCUCGUAACUGACGCUGAGAUUCGAAAGCGUGGGUAGCAAACAGG
rnacentral:rRNA from 1 species